rnacentral:lncRNA from 1 species
CUGACUUUGGCUCAGGUUGUGAUCUCAUGGUUUGUGAGUUCCAACCCACACCGGGCUCUCUGCUGUCAGUGCAAAGCCUGCUUCGGAUCCUCUGCCCCCUUUCUCUCUAGCCCUCCCCUGCUCAUGUGCGCUCUCUCAAAAAUAAAUACACAUUAAAAAAAUUAAUGAAGAAAAAAAAAACUAAGAAGAGAGACUGGCACUAAGUCACUUUAGAGUCUUGUCCCUUACCAGGGGUACCACAAAUUGGCCCAGAAGGGUCCAAACAGCUUAAUUGGCCAAACUGCAAUAAAAGAGGACUCCCAGCAUGCAUUCUGGUGGAAUUACCCUGCCGUGGAGCCUAUUAGCUCAUCCCAGUUCACGUUUCCUUUCCACCAACAGGAAGUGACGGGAGGCAGCUGAAGCUGAGCAGCGGCAAGAAAGGAGAUUCCCCCAAACAAAAGUAUCUGCAGCUGUUUGGGACCAUCCUUAAAAUCAAUAACCAUGAGCAGCUGUCUCCCUGACAUCAACAUCACUAACUCAGGAAACCAAUGGUGGGCUCAGGGGUGCUGCUGCGAAUAUCUGCUCUCUGUAACCUGGGAACAGAAAUGAGAAAGAUACUAGCGAUUCCUAGCAAAACCAUCUGAACAUAAGGAAACCACGGCCAUAGCAGGGGCACUGUGCUUUAUUGCUGUUGUUGUUGUUGAAUGAGAGCCAGGGGAGGGAAGAUGGAAGUCAAAACCCUGGGAGUUCCUCUUGGAGAGAGAGCAUUCUGGGUCUCCGUGCGUACGGAGAUAGACCUGGGCCCCUAAGGUUUGGCAUUUGGAUAACAGAGUUGAAAACCUUGGAAUGUAUGUCCAACAGUGAGAUAUCGAUGAUCAAGACAAAAGAAGUGACUGGUGAAUAUAAAUUACUAAACUGUAACAUGGAAGAAAAAAAACAAACAACCAAAGGCUUGCAAAAGACAUCAGUGAAAACAGAAUAAAGGUAAAUCUGAAGAUAAAAGAAAACAUAUGAAAGCUAGCUUUUGGUAUCCGGUUUGCUUUUCUUUAAAAAAAAAAAAAAAUCCAGUUUAGUCUCUUCCUAGUUUUGCAUUUCAAAAAGGUGCACCAAAACACUGAUAUUUUUUUUUCCUAGCUAAAUCUGUAAAACAAGAGAAGUAUAUAAAUCAAAGAACAGAAGGGCUUAAAAAGGGGAGUAUCUGAAUAAAUGUGUGUAUUAAAAUGUGU